rnacentral:rRNA from 1 species
UUUAUGGAGAGUUUGAUCCUGGCUCAGGAUGAACGCUGGCGGCGUGCCUAAUACAUGCAAGUCGAGCGAACAGAUAAGGAGCUUGCUCCUUUGACGUUAGCGGCGGACGGGUGAGUAACACGUGGGUAACCUACCUAUAAGACUGGAAUAACUCCGGGAAACCGGGGCUAAUGCCGGAUAACAUGUUGAACCGCAUGGUUCUACAGUGAAAGACGGUCUUGCUGUCACUUAUAGAUGGACCCGCGCCGUAUUAGCUAGUUGGUGGGGUAACGGCCUACCAAGGCGACGAUACGUAGCCGACCUGAGAGGGUGAUCGGCCACACUGGAACUGAGACACGGUCCAGACUCCUACGGGAGGC